AUGGACAGUCUUCAGGACACUUUCCUCAGUAUCAAGCCCUCAGUGUCUCUGCUGUCGUCCUCUUCUCUGCAGAUCUCUGAAAACUCAACAGCGCUGCUCUGUCUGCUCAGCUCUUACUCUCCAAAGGGGGCGCUGGUGAGCUGGACACUUGACGGGUCAGAGGUCACUGAAGGGGUUCACACCAGUGAAGAGAGUGAGCAGGACGGCCGAUACAGCCGCAGUAGCAUCCUGACCCUCAGCAAAGCACGCUGGGAAGAGAGAGGGGUGUAUGACGGUCUGUACAGCUGGAGCAGCAGUCUGACUCUCUCUGAGCAGGAGUGGAGCUCAGUGCUCUCAGUGAGCUGUGAGGCCAAACACAAAGAUCCCAGUCAUACAGUCACUAGAGAAUUCAGGAGAGAUGAUGAGUGUUCACACUAG